rnacentral:rRNA from 1 species
UAGGGAAUCUUCGGCAAUGGGCGAAAGCCCGACCGAGCAACGCCGCGUGAAUGAUGAAGGCCUUCGGGUUGUAAAAUUCUGUUAUAAGGGAAGAAUGGCUCUAGUAGGAAAUGGCUAGAGUGUGACGGUACCUUAUGAGAAAGCCACGGCUAACUACGUGCCAGCAGCCGCGGUAAUACGUAGGUGGCGAGCGUUAUCCGGAAUUAUUGGGCGUAAAGAGCGCGCAGGUGGUUGAUUAAGUCUGAUGUGAAAGCCCACGGCUUAACCGUGGUGGGUCAUUGGAAACUGGGCAACUUGAGUGCAGAAUAGGGAAGUGGAAUUCCAUGUGUAGCGGUGAAAUGCGUAGAGAUAUGGAGGAACACCAGUGGCGAAGGCGGCUUCCUGGUCUGUAACUGACACUGAGGCGCGAAAGCGUGGGGAGCAAACA